CCUUCGAUAGCUCAGUUGGUAGAGCGGUGGACUGUAGAGUAAGAGAUUGGGUGGACGAAUCCGCCUGGGAUCAUUUCGGGAGCAGUUAUCCAUAGGUCACUGGUUCAAAUCCGGUUCGAAGGA
rnacentral:tRNA from 1 species